rnacentral:rRNA from 1 species
UUGCUUUCUUUGCUGACGAGUGGCGGACGGGUGAGUAAUGCUUGGGUAUCUGGCUUAUGGAGGGGGAUAACUACGGGAAACUGUAGCUAAUACCGCGUAGUAUCGGAAGAUGAAAGUGUGGGACCGCAAGGCCACAUGCCAUAGGAUGAGCCCAAGUGGGAUUAGGUAGUUGGUGAGGUAAUGGCUCACCAAGCCGACGAUCUCUAGCUGGUCUGAGAGGAUGACCAGCCACACCGGGACUGAGACACGGCCCGGACUCCUACGGGAGGCAGCAGUGGGGAAUAUUGCGCAAUGGGGGCAACCCUGACGCAGCCAUGCCGCGUGAAUGAAGAAGGCCUUCGGGUUGUAAAGUUCUUUCGGUAGCGAGGAAGGCAUUUAGUU